GGCACGUUGACAAAGAAUCCACAUCUAAAUAAAGUGGUAUCCCUUAUAUUAUGAAAAUCUCGUGAACUCCGUAUAAUGACCUGACACAAAUUAAAAAUCAAUUAAAAAAACAAAAAGAAACAAAAAAACGAAUUCUUAAACUUCGUAGCAUCGAAUCCGUCGCCAACUAGGGUUUGUCAUUCUUCAUCUUUCUCUCACUCGCCUCCUCCUCGUGUUUUUCUCUUCUCUCGCCUCAAUUUCCCUUGCAACUCCGGCGCUUCGUUCCCCUAAGGCUCCUCAUGUGUUUCCGCAAAUGGUUGCACGUAAACAAUUCGACGGAGUUCGCGAUAGGGCAACGGUUGUUCUUGGUGUUAAGAAGGAAUUCAUCGCGAAACUUUAUGAUUCCAGACUUGUAGAUGAAUUGUAGAAGAGGAAGUGAUUUUAUGGAAAUUUGAGAAAACCAAAAGGCAUGUAGUUUCAUUUUGAAGAAACUUAUCAAUUGCAAUUCCCAGUAUUUGUGGAUCAAUUAGGGUAUAUAAUGAUUGUUUUUAGAGCUGGUAAGUGAUGAGCGACAUUUAUGUCGCUCUUAGCUUAGGAUAGUUCAUUUUAUUAGCAUUUUAAUAUUAUAUUCUCUUAGUUUUAUCGUUUUUAGUUUGUUUGUUGCAUUUUUGCAUUUAUCGUAACAUUUUCUCGUCUUGCGUAUAUUUUAGUCGUUUUUGCUCUAAAUAUGCAUUUUGUGCGCGUUCUCAUUGCGUAAGAGUAAUUUUGAGUAUUGAUGUGUUAAUAUUGCGUCAUUAUGCUUGUAGACGAGUUAUAUGUUUUACGAUUUGUAGAAAUGUUAAACGAAUUAAUAUUUCGAUUUUCGAUUAUUAAUAAAAUGCUCUACGAUUUUUGUGAAUGUGCUAGCCUUAUCAAUCCACUUGGUUGCUGUUGUUUGAGCCUCGUCGCUGCCCACAAGUGUACGAACAAGACAGUAGUUGUGCACUCCCAGCCACACUCGAGCUACCUCAGAACAAUGCAGCAACAGCCAUUCACGCAGCAGCCUUGUGCUCACCAACAAGCUGUCAUACAGCAGCCCCUUGCGCUCACAUUAGCUCCAUGGCACUACCCUAAUAGCAGCUGUGCACAGCACCAACCUGAGAAGAAUAGUGUAGCGAGUACAGUACAGCAGCUCCAGCCCGCAGCAGAUCAGUACAACAGCUACAGCCCGCAGCAGAUCAGUACAACAAAAUAGCGCAGAACAGUCGCAGCAAUAGCAGCCCAAGCUCGUGCUUUACAGCAGCUCUUUAAGCUCACCAACGAGCUCCUUUGCACUACCUUGAGGGCAGCCUUGCAGCUCCAUGUUAACAGCAGCAAUAAGAGAAGGGUAGCAACCAUGUAGCACAGCAGAACAUUGCAGCAACAGCGUGAGAGAACAGCAGCAGAACUGCCAGCCUUCCAGUGUUGUGCGAUCGAACAGCUAGGCUGUGCGAUCGAACAGGCUUCUGUGCGGUCGAACAGUUCAAGCUGUGUGGUCGCACAAACUGUAAACUACAGACAGAAUGUCCUGAUUUUGGUAAACGAUCGCACACGAUUUCAGAUUCGACCGCACAGCUCUUGUGCGACCAAACACACCCUUUGUGCGACCGAAUAUAGCUGCGCGAAGAUGCUUUAAUACACGAAAAUCGCAGCAUUGUAGAAUUAGGCUUUCAUUUUACGUAAUUCUCUAAUUUUCAUAUUUUAGGAUUAUCUUAGAAUUCUCUCUCUAGAAUUAGUUUAGGGCUUUGAUUAGAGAUUAGGAUUAAGGAUUCUUAGCCUGAAAUUCUUGAUUCUAAAUUCAAUACAAUCAUCUUUAAUUUUCAGA